GAACGCUAGCUACAGGCUUAACACAUGCAAGUCGAGGGGCAGCAUUUUAGUUUGCUUGCAAACUGAAGAUGGCGACCGGCGCACGGGUGAGUAACACGUAUCCAACCUGCCGAUAACUCCGGAAUAGCCUUUCGAAAGAAAGAUUAAUACCGGAUAGUAUACGAAUAUCGCAUGAUAUUUUUAUUAAAGAAUUUCGGUUAUCGAUGGGGAUGCGUUCCAUUAGUUUGUUGGCGGGGUAACGGCCCACCAAGACUACGAUGGAUAGGGGUUCUGAGAGGAAGGUCCCCCACAUUGGAACUGAGACACGGUCCAAACUCCUACGGGAGGCAGCAGUGAGGAAUAUUGGUCAAUGGGCGAGAGCCUGAACCAGCCAAGUAGCGUGAAGGAUGAAGGCUCUAUGGGUCGUAAACUUCUUUUAUAUGGGAAUAAAGUUUUCCACGUGUGGAAUUUUGUAUGUACCAUAUGAAUAAGGAUCGGCUAACUCCGUGCCAGCAGCCGCGGUAAUACGGAGGAUCCGAGCGUUAUCCGGAUUUAUUGGGUUUAAAGGGAGCGUAGGUGGAUUGUUAAGUCAGUUGUGAAAGUUUGCGGCUCAACCGUAAAAUUGCAGUUGAAACUGGGAGUCUUGAGUACAGUAGAGGUGGGCGGAAUUCGUGGUGUAGCGGUGAAAUGCUUAGAUAUCACGAAGAACUCCGAUUGCGAAGGCAGCUCACUAGACUGUCACUGACACUGAUGCUCGAAAGUGUGGGUAUCAAACAGGAUUAGAUACCCUGGUAGUCCACACAGUAAACGAUGAAUACUCGCUGUUUGCGAUAUACAGUAAGCGGCCAAGCGAAAGCAUUAAGUAUUCCACCUGGGGAGUACGCCGGCAACGGUGAAACUCAAAGGAAUUGACGGGGGCCCGCACAAGCGGAGGAACAUGUGGUUUAAUUCGAUGAUACGCGAGGAACCUUACCCGGGCUUAAAUUGCAACAGAAUAUAUUGGAAACAGUAUAGCCGUAAGGCUGUUGUGAAGGUGCUGCAUGGUUGUCGUCAGCUCGUGCCGUGAGGUGUCGGCUUAAGUGCCAUAACGAGCGCAACCCUUAUCUUUAGUUACUAACAGGUCAUGCUGAGGACUCUAGAGAGACUGCCGUCGUAAGAUGUGAGGAAGGUGGGGAUGACGUCAAAUCAGCACGGCCCUUACGUCCGGGGCUACACACGUGUUACAAUGGGGGGUACAGAAGGCGGCUACCUGGUGACAGGAUGCUAAUCCCAAAAACCUCUCUCAGUUCGGAUCGAAGUCUGCAACCCGACUUCGUGAAGCUGGAUUCGCUAGUAAUCGCGCAUCAGCCAUGGCGCGGUGAAUACGUUCCCGGGCCUUGUACACACCGCCCGUCAAGCCAUGAAAGCCGGGGGUACCUGAAGUACGUAACCGCAAGGAGCGUCCUAGGGUAAAACUGGUAAU
rnacentral:rRNA from 1 species